UCCCUCCUGCUGAACUCUUCCUACCCGGGCUCUGAACACAUCCCUGAGCUGCAGAGCUGACGUCUGGGUGACAGUGAAACGGGGUAUUCAUUUGUACCAAAACAAACAAACAAACAAACAAAACCUGGAAUGACGGUGUGUGGAUUUCUUGUGUGCUUAUUCGUAGGAUUGAGAAAGGGUGAGGCUAAGGUCCCGAGCCUUCGUGAAGCAAUGGAGAAAGUGCCGUCCCAAGGCUCAGUUCCACACGGCGCUGUGAGGCUGAAGGGGCUCACUGGAAGUUCCCCUCACAGGACGCCACCUCACCUGAAACCCUCUUUUUCUGCUACCAUCCAAGGGACAAGAUCUCCUGAGUUGUCGAAGACUCACUCCGGAAGAAAACCCUCUCAGGCAGUUACUGAGGGACUGUGGUCUGGACUAGAACGUGUUUUUCUCAGUGACACCUCUAGAGGGCAGCACUCAACGGAGUCCCACAGACACCUCCCUGCAUUUCCUCCUCAGACACUGGGUGGAUGAUAUGGUAACACUGGGGAAUGCUUGGGUGUUCUCCUGGAAGCUCCUUAUUUUAAUCACCUGUUUACUUGUCUCCAUUCUUAUAGAUAUGUAGGCUACCCGAGGGCAGAGACUGAGUCUGUCUUGUUCACUGUCUACCUCCAGAACCUCACACAGAAUCUGGCACUUAGUAGGUGCACAACAAAAUAAUCAUUGAAUUAGUAUACUGAGUCUUUAACAGAGUCUCUUUCUGUUUAUUGAGUUGACACGAUGUAUCCAAAAGCAGCUGAAUGCACAACUCAAACUGUCAUCCAAGCACACAAAGAAGGCAUUGAUGAAAAAGCUGAGACAGGUUACAACGGGAGUGCCAGAGAGAUGUCACUUAAAAUGAGAACUUCUCAGGGUAAGUCUCAUGGUGUUCAUGGCCUUUAAAGUAGGUUCUGAGACACAAUUUUAUGCAGAGGUCCCUUUCUGUGUUCUUCCAAGCCUACAGUAUUACUACAAUAUGACCUUAUCACAUGACCCAUGAAAGAAAACAACUCAAGGUAAUGGCCACAUCUAUUUCUAUUCUUUUCGUCUUAUUCAUGUUCUUGUGUGUCCUUGGAUGGGGAAGGCUGUGUGGGAUCCUGAGCUGAUGACCUCAGCUCAUUCACGGUGCCCCAAGCAUGAAAACAAGGAAAGGGCAUUCUCAGGGCACUGGGGAUGGUUCCUCUAGCAGAUACUCUGAGAGGUCUGGCCUUUUAGCCUGGAGAUAGUUGCCAGACCUGUUCAGGGAGCCACAUCCCUUCCACUUUAACCACCUUCUCCCUCUCCACCACCACAGCUACCACCCCACACACACAUAGGCAUCGCCUGGUGUUAAAAUCUUCAACUGUGGCCGGGCACGGUGGCUCACACCUGUAAUCCCAGCACUUUGGGAGGCCGAGGCGGGCGGAUCACGAG
rnacentral:lncRNA from 1 species